GUAACUAUGUGUAUGAAAACAGAGUCUGUCAUAAGAAGGCUGGAGAUGGAUGGCUGAAGUUGCCUGAGAUCUGCCCAGCAGGGCAUGGCUUGGAUAAUGUUAUGUAUGUAAAUGGGGGAGCUGUGAGGUCAUGUGGAAUGACAAGCGGAAGAAUGUUCCGGAUAAAGAGUUGAGGCAUUCCGUGGGCCAUCUGUAUUUGUCUCAGGUUAAGCUCUCUCACAGGCUUAUUUUCAGGCAAAGCCCCCACCAAAAUAUGUCCUGAUGCACCAGAAAACCUGUUCCACUGCUACCAAGAAACAAAAGGCUAAAAUGCAGCACAAGCCACCACGUAAUGACGAGAAUCAUCUUGGUCUCUCAAACGGCUUAACCCUGGAGCAUGAGUGCUCAAGGUCUCCUCCAGCCUUCUGACUUGAGUGAUCCCCUCACCAAAUCGCUGCAAAGGAUUAGACCCUUUUAUGUGACAAACUCUCCGUUUAGAAUUUUGGCUUAAAGUUUGGUAGAAAUUUGAUUAUUUUUAGGUUGCCUUACAAAUGUAAGUAGAAAAACACUUGCUUGUGUUAUUUAUUUAGGCCUAGCCAAGCUCCCUCUAAAAUCUGCCCCGACACACCAGAAAACCUGUGCAAGUGCCACUAAGAAGCAAAAGGCUAAAAUGCCCUGCAAGCCACUCAGUACUGGUGGCGAGGGGAAAUGGCAAAUAAAAAACGCUGCGCAAGCCACCAAGCGAUUAUAGUGAGGAGGACCCUUCACAGCAGAAUCUUGAGCCUUCCUGCUCCAGGCAUGGGUCAUCUGGGAGCCAGAGGUCUCUUUCUGCUUCCUCAGAUGAGAGCCCCCUGACCAGACCCUUUUCCUAUGUCGGAAGCAAGUGUCACGACUUCUACAGAAGUUGAUGCCCCUCCUGGUUCGGGUGGUGCUCGGCGAUCGACGUCACCGGUCUUCUAGCCACCAUUGAUCAGUUUUUCAUUUUCCAUUGGUUUUGUCUUGUCUCCUUACACACCUGUUUCUUAUCCCAGUAAUUACAUGUUGUGUAUUUAACCCUCUGUUUCCCCUCAUAUCCUUGUUGGUGAUUGUUUGUUAUGUUAUGUACGUGUUGUUGAUGUAUCGGUGUGCGAUGGGGUUAUUGUUUACCCAGAUUAUUUUCUACGUUGGUUUUGGAGUUAGUUUUGUUAAUAAAUACUUUAUUUUUUAACCACUUUGGUUUCUCCUGCGCCUGACUUCCCUGCCACCUACAUACACAGAUUAUGACAGCAGGGGAAGAUAUCCAGGACCGAGUGAAGAGCGCAAUGCACAGGUCAACUAUAACCAUAUGUGACCGACCGUCUCGAUCUUAU
rnacentral:lncRNA from 1 species